UUUUCUCGAUUGCUUAUUAAUACAGAAUGAAAGAUCCCCGAAGGGAGACCCUUACUCAAGUCUCGGGAAGUCUCGGACCCCAGACACAGAGAGACCA
rnacentral:pre_miRNA from 14 species